ACGCCCAGGUGUACUAAUUGAAACGGCCGCGGUAUUUUGACCGUGCGAAGGUAGCGCAAUCACUUGUCUUUUAAUGAGACCUGUAUGAUGGUGGACGAGGCUUACUGUCUGCCCUUCGAGUCAUGAAUGAUCUGCCGUGCAGAGCGGACAUAAAAUACAGACGAGAGACCUUUGAGCUUAGAUACAGAUCACUAUGUCAAGACAAAAGUCAACUAAAUAGCACUGAUCCCUACUCCGUUGAGCGACGCGGAGAAACAAAGCUCCCGCGAUGGCCACGCACACCAGAAUAUUUUCUAGUCCAAUGCUACUUAAUCGGCCGCGCGACACGACAGUACCUGGAUACGCUAACUUGAAGCCACACAGAGGGUCACUCCAUUGUAUCGACCCAAGGGCCCGUUAGGUGUUUUCAUUAGCCAGG
rnacentral:rRNA from 1 species